rnacentral:rRNA from 1 species
AUUGAACGCUGGCGGCAGGCCUAACACAUGCAAGUCGAACGAGUGGCGGACGGGUGAGUAAUGUCUGGGAAACUGCCCGAUGGAGGGGGAUAACUACUGGAAACGGUAGCUAAUACCGCAUACCAUCGGAUGUGCCCAGCUGGGAUUAGCUGGUAGGUGGGGUAACGGCUCACCUAGGCGACGAUCCCUAGCUGGUCUGAGAGGAUGACCAGCAACGCUGGAACUGAGACAGGGUCCAGACUCCUACGGGGGGCAGCAGUGGGGAAUAGUGCACAAUGGGCGAAAGCCUGAGGCGUCCAUGCCGCGUGUAGGAGGAGGGCCUUCGGGUUGUAAAGUACUUUCAGCGAGGAGGCGUUACUCGCAGAGGAAGCACCGGCUAACUCCGUGCCAGCAGCCGCGGUAAUUC